ACCAGUCCUCCACUAUAACCACUACCAACGCGGCCCCCAAUUGUCAUCAAUGGGCUAUCCUCCACAGGUUUCUUUGUAUUCAACUCCACCAGAUCCACACUCCUCAGCCGAAACCAACAACAACCAUCUCUACCACCAACCAUCUUUACAGCCAAACUUGCCUUGACAGCCAAGGCUGCCAUUUCUUGAGCCUUAAUGGGAGUGUCCAACCAGCUAACUGGCAACUCGAAGUAAAGCUGACCCAACUCAAGCUUUUCAUCGUCAUUAAUGGCUGAAACAUGGUCAUCAAAGUCCAAAUCAUCUGCGUUGCAAAUGAAACAGCUAGGGUUUCUUUGUAAUAUCUGUGAAACCCUAACUGGGACGCGGAAUUCCUCGAGCCGGCCAUCUUCAAGGAUUAGUUUCGCGGUGGCUACUGUGCCAGGCCCAAAGGAGCUGCAAAUCCCCAUCUUUUUAUCAUUUGCG
rnacentral:misc_RNA from 1 species